CAGCCGGUGGCGGUCAGCUCGGCGGCAGCCAGACGCAGGCGACCCUCACCGCCGCAAAAGAGGCUCGGAAGCGAGCAGAAUUGGAUGCACAGCUCCUCGCGAACCGGGUCGCCCUGCUGAAGCAGGAGGAGGAGAAGGCGUGGAAGAA
rnacentral:SRP_RNA from 14 species